UAUCUUUUUACCUCCCUGUUAGUAGAUUAUUUUCAAAAUAUCUAAAUGGUGAAAAGAGCCAAGUGCAAAAUAACAAUUAACAGAAAAACUAGUUUAAUAACAAAAACGAUUUAUGUACUGAAAAUACAAGAAUCAUGUUAAGCAAAACCGAUGCCAUUCUUAUUAAAAUCUAACUUACGGUUUGGAAGAUAUGGACUAAUUAUUAUUUUUUGUUAAACCUUGCCACUUAAUUGCUCAUUAUUUUGGAACUUGUUAUGUGUGGGUUGACUCUCUUCACUACCAAAGCGACGAUAUUUUCAUUUUCAUAUUAUACUUGAGUAUUUGAUUCCAGUCUUUAUUAUUUUCUUAA